rnacentral:rRNA from 1 species
GGCUCAGAAUCAACGCUGGCGGCGCGCUUAACACAUGCAAGUCGAACGAGAAAGUGGAGCAAUCCAUGAGUAAAGUGGCGUACGGGUGAGUAACACGUGGGUAAUCUACCUCUGGGUGGGGGAUAACCCUGGGAAACCGGGGCUAAUACCGCAUAAGCCUGGAAAGGGAAAGGCGAAAGUCGCCGAGAGAGGAGCCCGCGGCCGAUUAGCUAGUUGGUAGGGUAAAGGCCUACCAAGGCGAUGAUCGGUAGCCGGCCUGAGAGGGCACACGGCCACACUGGCACUGAAACACGGGCCAGACUCCUACGGGAGGCAGCAGUGGGGAAUCUUGCACAAUGGGGGCAACCCUGAUGCAGCGACGCCGCGUGAGCGAUGAAGCCCUUCGGGGUGUAAAGCUCUUUCGGCUGGAACGAUGAUGACGGUACCAGCAGAAGAAGCUGCGGCUAACUACGUGCCAGCAGCCGCGGUAAUACGUAGGCAGCGAGCGUUGUUCGGAGUUACUGGGCGUAAAGAGUGCGUAGGCGGUGGCCUAAGUCUGGUGUGAAAUCUCCCGGCUCAACUGGGAGGGUGCGCCGGAAACUGGGUUGCUAGAGUGUGGGAGAGGCUAGCGGAAUUCCUGGUGUAGCGGUGAAAUGCGUAGAUAUCAGGAGGAACACCUGCGGUGUAGACGGCUGGCUGGACCACUACUGACGCUGAGGCACGAAAGCGUGGGGAGCAAACAGGAUUAGAUACCCUGGUAGUCCACGCCCUAAACGAUGCAUACUUGGUGUGGGCAGUUCAUUCUGUCCGUGCCGGAGCUAACGCGUUAAGUAUGCCGCCUGGGGAGUACGGUCGCAAGG